UGUCUGGUCUGUAACUGACGCUGAGGCUCGAAAGUAUGGGUAGCAAACAGGAUUAGAUACCCUGGUAGUCCAUACCGUAAACGAUGAAUGCUAAGUGUUGGAGGGUUUCCGCCCUUCAGUGCUGCAGCUAACGCAUUAAGCAUUCCGCCUGGGGAGUACGGCCGCAAGGCUGAAACUCAAAGGAAUUGACGGGGGCCCGCACAAGCGGUGGAGCAUGUGGUUUAAUUCGAAGCUACGCGAAGAACCUUACCAGGUCUUGACAUACUAUGCAAAUCUAAGAGAUUAGACGUUCCCUUCGGGGACAUGGAUACAGGUGGGGCAUGGUUGUCGUCAGCUCGUGUCGUGAGAUGUUGGGUUAAGUCCCGCAACGAGCGCAACCCUUAUUAUCAGUUGCCAGCAUUAAGUUGGGCACUCUGGUGAGACUGCCGGUGACAAACCGGAGGAAGGUGGGGAUGACGUCAAAUCAUCAUGCCCCUUAUGACCUGGGCUACACACGUGCUACAAUGGAUGGUACAACGAGUUGCGAACUCGCGAGAGUAAGCUAAUCUCUUAAAGCCAUUCUCAGUUCGGAUUGUAGGCUGCAACUCGCCUACAUGAAGUCGGAAUCGCUAGUAAUCGCGGAUCAUCAUGCCGCGGUGAAUACUUUCCCGGGCCUUGUACACACCGCCCGUCACACCAUGAGAGUUUGUAACACCCAAAGUCGGUGGGGUAACCUUUUAAGAACCAGGCGGCUAAAGUGGGACAGAUGAUUACGGUGAAGUCGUAACAUGUAGCCCGUACACGGAGGUGGCACUCGUCGUUCUUGACGUAGGUUUCCCACCUUCCGAUGCACUUCUUCGUUGG
rnacentral:rRNA from 2 species